CAAAAUCCUCUCCAUUUCUUCCAUUACUAUAGUUUUGGGAAAAUAAAUGAAAUGGAGAUAUGUCACACAUAAUAAUGGAGAGUAUCAUUUAUUUCCCGAAAGCAUGGUAGUGGAAGAAAUGGAGAGGAUCUGU
rnacentral:pre_miRNA from 1 species